CACAAGCUAAUCUGGGACGACACUUUACGCACAAGCAUUAUGCCCAGUUUUCUCAGAACGCGGAUAAUUUGAUACGUUCAAAUGGUUAGAUUAUUGAUUCGGCGUUUCCCCUAACGAAGCCGCAUUUUUCCCGGCGGAAAAACACGCACACUUACAAUUCUGCGCUCAGCGGCGGUCAAUACGCAUCGGUCGCCGGAAACACGGAGUCCGAUGCAAUUUCACUUGUCAAUACCAAAAUGCAUCUACAUUGGUUUGUCAUCAUCAGGGAAAUAUGUUAAACAGAUUCUUGAUUUCAGAAAAGAAGUAAGACAAGGUGCCUGUACCACGUGACUUUUUCGGCUAUGUGUGGGACAAUCGGAUGUCAACAAACCAUCGCUUCAGACUUGACAAGGAUUAGACACGGAAGGUGUUAUGUGGCAAGUUAAUUAUCAAAACCACAGUGACAGAGACGGACCCAGCUUCAUUCUGUGAUGUUAACGGAAAGCUAUUUCAACUAACUAUGCAAACAUACCAUUUAAUAUGUAUUUUGGCAUAAUCAAAACAAAGUGUGUGUAUUGAUAUUUGUGUAUAUUUAUGUGUUUUGUAUCUAUGUUAUUAAUGAAAUUGAUUAGAUGAAUAUAAAAUCUGAGUAUAUAUGUUAAUAAAACAAUUGUUUCAUAACAAAUAACAAUAUAAAUCCAA